UCAUAAUAGAAUAUGCAAAAUCUUCAUAUCAAGUCAUUGAAGAAAGAAAAAAAAAUAACCGUUGUAUCGAUCAAAUGAGAAAAAUGAUUACAACAUUAAUAAAAUAAGGUUCAAGUUGGAAAUAAACAAAUACAAAUAAACCUAAACAAACCUAAGCACAUGUUCUCAAUGGUCCAUUCAAAAACGCUAAAAAAAA